rfam:Pan troglodytes isolate Yerkes chimp pedigree #C0471 (Clint) chromosome 6, whole genome shotgun sequence.
GCCGGGUGUGGAAGCGUGCGCCUGUAGUCCCAGCUACUAGGGAGGCUGAGGUGGGAGGAUCACCUGAGCCCAGGAAGUCGAGGCUGCAGUGAGCCAUGAUGGCACCACUGCACUCCAGCCUGGGCAUCAGAGUGAGAUCCUGUCUCAA